UACAGAGGUCUCGAGCGUUGCUCGGAAUCACUGGGCGUAAAGGGUGCGUAGGCGGGUCUUUAAGUCGGGGGUGAAAUCCUGGAGCUCAACUCCAGAACUGCCUUCGAUACUGAAGAGCUCGAGUCCGGGAGAGGUGAGUGGAACUGCGAGUGUAGAGGUGAAAUUCGUAGAUAUUCGCAAGAACACCAGUGGCGAAGGCGGCUCACUGGCCCGGUACUGACGCUGAGGUGCGAAAGCGUGGGGAGCAAACAGG
rnacentral:rRNA from 1 species